GUUGGCGGACAUGUUACUUACAAUCAAGACCCCUAUUAAGGCUUGGAAUAUACUAAAUCAAAAAAUUCACCAUUCUGCUGUCUGGUCUAGAGCCACUCCUCUGUCAGUAUUAAAACUAGUUUUGCCUGAAUUAGAUGUAGAAUAUUGGUCAUCUCAUUCGAUUCAUUGCACUAAUGAUUUUUUCUUAUAUUCUAAUUUUUUACCAUUUGAACAGCUACAGAAGAUAUUCCAGCGAAGUGUUUUUGAUGCCUCUACACAUUUAGCGAGCAUUUUGGGAUUUCAGACCAGGAUCUGAAUAUUAGAAAAUUGGAAAUGUCAUAUUUAGAAAAGGUUUUUAUUUCAGACCCUGGUCAGAAACAAACCAUUUACAUGUGCUAUGCCUUUUUUGCAGGAGACGUAGGCAUGAAAUUGUCAUACAUGACAAAGUGGGAGAGUGAUCUGGGUGAGGUAUUCACAGUGGAGGAAUGGCAUGAAUCAUUACUUG